GACGAACGCUGGCGGCAUGCCUAACACAUGCAAGUCGAACGAUGCAUGCUGGUACAUGUACCAACGGGAGCAGAACGCAUGGGAACCGUCCCGUAGGGGGGGAAUAACUCCCCGAAGGGGGUGAUAAUAGGGGAUAAUUGCUUCUAACGAAAGAUUUAUCUCCUUUGGAUGGUCCCGCGUGGGAGUAGCUAGUUGGUAGGGUAAAGGUCUACCAAGGCGGAGUUCCAUAGCUGGUGUGAGAGGAUGAUCAGCCACACUGGGAGUGAGACACGGCCCAGACUCCUACGGGAGGCAGCAGUGGUGAAUAUUGGACAAUGGGCGAAAGCCUGAUCCAGCAAUGCCGUGUGAGUGAUGAAGGCCUUAGGGUUGUAAAGCCCUUUUAACCGCGAUGAUAAUGACAGUACCGGGAGAAUAAGCGCCGGCUAACUCCGUG
rnacentral:rRNA from 1 species